UAAGUGGAAAAAAGGGGAGAUUGUGAAGUAUUUUACUAUUUUUCAAAUAUUUUAAAUUUUUAUUUUGAGAUUUUUCAAAUAUAUUUUCAGAUUUUAAAGAUUUUACAUUUGAAUAUUUUACAACUUCCAAGUAUUUUACAGUUUACUAUUUUUGGUGAUUUUUAAAGGUGUUACAUUUUACAUUUUACCAUUUUCAUGAGUUUCAAGUAUUUCACAUGUUCACAUUUGAGAAUUUCAAAGAUUUUACAUUUUUCUACAUAUUGUGAUUUUCAAGGGUUUUCCAGUUUACAAUAUUUUAUGAUUUUCAAAGGACUUACAUUUUAAUAUAUCCUUUUGUGAGCAUUGUGGAAAAUAUUUGAUAAAAUUCUACAAUUUUCAUAUAUCCUUUCAGGAGUAUUUUUUAAUACUAUUGUUUUACAUGUUUAUGGAUUAUUUUACAAAGGCAUUUUGAAGACAUUUUACAAUUAUCUUGAAUUAAAAUAUAUUGUGGUAUAGAUUUGUAGGCUUAUCAGUUUACUUUUAACGUGUGUGUUUUGAAAUUAUUUUACAUCCAGUUUGACUAUAUUUUACAGCCUUCAUCUAUAUUUUUAUAAAUGUUUUAUAAUUCUUUUAUUUCUGGGAUAUAUAACAUUUUUAUUACGUGACAGUUUUUAGAGGAAUAUUUACUAUAUUUUGGUUAUAUUUGACAGUGUGUGGAGGAAAUUCUUUUGCUAUAUUUUACAAUACGUUUAUAAUUCAUGUUCACCAAAUUUAAAUUUUUCACACCUCUUUUACGAUAUUAUAUAUUCUAAGGUUUGUGCCUAUCUUCUUAGAAUAUUUUCAAGCCGAGAUAAGAUUUACACAAAUUAAUAUACUUGUGGUAGUGCCUGUUGAAAUAAAUAAAUGAACAAAGAAAUAAAGUGACAAAAAUUCAGGGAUUAAGAACCCAUGUAAUAGCUGGAUGACAAAAUGGUUUGGGCAAUACAGCGCACUGAUAACCUCAUUGAUAAUGUCUAUUGCGGUGGCGGCAGCAAUAAUAGUAAACUGUGGAUGUUGUUGUAUGCCAUGUAUCAGAUCUUUGUGUAACAGGUGUAUCGUGAAGACGGUGGAGGGAAAGGAUCCUCCACCGUAUCAGAUGCCACUGCUAGGAGGAGGAUGAACCAGUGGUUGAUCUCCUGUAAAGGAGAUCAAAAGGGGGAAUGAAGGAAAAUGAGAACAUUUCCCACAUCAGUAUAUCCUUUCAUUAUUAAUAAUUGCAUUGCUUCUAAUAUUAUAAAGCAGUUAUGAGUAUUAAUAUUUAGCAGUUUAUCACAUAGUUUUGAAAUUAGUUUUGUUUAUGAUUGGUCUUAUUUGUUGUGCAUGAUCAAAGCUUAUAUAUGAAUCCAUUGCAUUUGACUCUAAAAGGUCAUGUCUGCAGAUUUUGGAGGCUUGCAGUCUUGUGUGGUAUGUAUGUAUGUGUGUUUUUUAACUUUUGCUUUGCAGAGACACCUGGGGAGAAAAACAGGAUGUCGGGGCGACAGGGUGAACUAAAGGUCAAUGUUGUUUAUAGCAGCAUGAACUUCUAAGACAGAAGUAAAACUUUCCAUCGAACGGGCCCCCACCCAACUACACAUAUAUAUUUUUGGGGUCAGAGGGAAAGGCAGAUCAGAUCAACCGCUCCUCGGGGGACCUGUUUCUGCAUUGGUGUUGUGUAAGGACAGGGACAGUUUUGACCCAGAGCUCUGUAAUACUUCAUUUGAGAUACUUAUUAAAAUAAUUUGAUUUGA